UACUCCCUCCGAACCAUAAUAAGUGUCUGACAUUUAGCACAAAUUUGUUAACUUCGUACUAAAUCUCCGACACUUACUGUGGCUCGGAGGGAGUAUG